UUAAUCCCUAUCUUAUCACCUAAUCAUCAUUACAUUAAUAGGAAAUUAGAAAAGGGAUUAGGUUUUUUACGUGAAUUUGAACUCAGAUUGCUAUCUUUCUUCUUCCUUACGAACGGUGCGGCGAUGCUCCAACGGCCUCAACGGCGCGGCGAUGCUCCGACGGCCUCAGCGGCGUGUUACUGCAGUCUCCAAUCUCAUCCCUCUGACCGCCUCAAACUCUCGAUUUCAUCUCUCUUUCAAUCGUCACUCAUCUCUCUCGUUAAUCUCUCAUCUCAAUCUCUCGCUCAAUUCUCAUCACAGUUGUUCCGACGAUACUUCAAACGUGACGGCGAUGAGCUUAGAUCCGCGACUCCGUAUUCAGUUGUUGAUUCGAAUCAAAGAGCAAAGAUUAUGAGGAGAUAUUGUUGGCGAUUGAAGAAGAUUGGCGAAAGAUGAUGAUUCGGCGAUGAUGAUGAAACACGUUGUUCUUGCUAAUUGACGACGAUGAUGAUCGUUGCUACUUUCGUAGAUUUGUUGAAUAUUGAUUAUCACGAAUUUUCUCUUGAAUGAUGAAGAUUGAAUCGAUGUAUAUUUUCUGGUUUUUUCUUGCAGGAUUUGUGGAAGGUGAAGAUUGAAGAUGUUGAAUCGUCAAUUGUGAAUUCGGUGAUGAUUGAAGAAUUGAAGAUAGGCCAAGGUUGAAGUUUGGGCGAAGGUUGCGGAUCCGAAGGAGUUUUUCUGUUACAUUUUUCUGUGAGUUUUCGGUGAUUGUUAUGAAUGGAGGAGGAUGAAGAUUCAGAGAUGGUGAAGAAGGUUCUUGGAGAUGAUGAAGAACAGAGAUGAUGAAGAUGAUGAAGAUCAAAAUUGGUGGAGAAGUUUGUUCAUUUUCGGUUACUGAUUUUUCUUUUCCUCUCGUUUCUGUUACAAAUUGUUAUCACUCUUUUCUGUUGAAUGUGAAUCUGUUAUGCUGUGGUGAGUGGAGAUUCCAGAAAAAUCAAGAUUGAAGGUGGUUGAGAGUGAUUGAAGAAUGUUUUAUCAGGGGCGGUAUGUAUGGAGUUAGCUGCCAGCGGGUGGUCUUGACCAUGAAGAAAGCAAUAGAUACCAAGUAGAGUACACAAUAGAAAGCUCUUGAAAUGGACUCAUGAAAGUCACUAAAUUUUUCAUAAUAUUUCUUGUAACUAAUUUUGUAAUGGAUUGGACAAUUGACCUUUUUUGUAUAGUUUUGUAAAUGGGCUUUUGUAAUUUCUUGUAAUGAACAUGGACUUGGAUUACAUUUGUA